GGUCAAGCGAAUAUAGGUGUAU
rnacentral:rRNA from 1 species